GAUGAAGGCCNUNGGGUUGUAAANNACUUUUGUNUGGGANGAAAAGGNNCUNUNUAAUANNGAGGGUNNCUGACGGUACCACAAGAAUAAGCACCGGCUAACUACGUGCCAGCAGCCGCGGUAAUACGUAGGGUGCGAGCGUUAAUCGGAAUUACUGGGCGUAAAGGGUGCGCAGGCGGCCAUGCAAGUCAGAUGUGAAAGCCCCGGGCUUAACCUGGGAAUUGCGUUUGAAACUGCAAGGCUAGAGUGCAACAGAGGGGAGUGGAAUUCCAUGUGUAGCAGUGAAAUGCGUAGAGAUGUGGAAGAACACCGAUGGCGAAGGCAGCUCCCUGGGUUGACACUGACGCUCAUGCACGAAAGCGUGGGGAGCAAACAGGAUUAGAUACCCUGGUAGUCCACGCCCUAAACUAUGUCAACUAGUUGUCGGAUCUAAUUAAGGAUUUGGUAACGUAGCUAACGCGUGAAGUUACCGCCUGGGGAGUACGGUCGCA
rnacentral:rRNA from 1 species